GCCCAGCGUCGUCCGGGUUUUGGCCAUCAUUGUAAAUAAGAAUUUGUUCUUAACUGACUUGCCUAGUUAAAUAAAAAAAAUGAUGCCCAGUACGCUUUCUUUUUCCAGUAACAGGUACCAGACAGUAGUUAACAGUAACAGGUACCAGACAGUAGCUAACAGUAACAGGUACCAGACAGUAGCAGGUACCAGACAGUAGCUAACGGUAACAGGUACCAGACAGUACCAGACAGUAGCUAACGGUAACAGGUACCAGACAGUAGCUAACAAUAACAUGUACCAGACAGUAGCUAACAAUAACAUGUACCAGACAGUAGCAGGUACCAGACAGUAGCUUACAGUAACAGGUACCAGACAGUAGCUUACAGUAACAGGUACCAGACAGUAGCUAACAGUAACAGGUACCAGACAGUAGCAGGUACCAGACAGUAGCUUACAGUAGCAGGUACCAGACAGUAGCUAACAGUAACAGGUACCAGACAGUAGCUAACGGUAACAGGUACCAGACAGUAGCUAACGGUAACAGGUACCAGACAGUAGCUAACGGUAACAGGUACCAGACAGUAGCUAACGGUAACAGGU
rnacentral:lncRNA from 1 species